UACGUAGGGGGCUAGCGUUGUCCGGAAUCAUUGGGCGUAAAGAGCGUGUAGGCGGCCCGGUAAGUCCGCUGUGAAAGUCGGGGGCUCAACCCUCGAAUGCCGGUGGAUACUGUCGGGCUAGAGUGCGGAAGAGGCGAGUGGAAUUCCUGGUGUAGCGGUGAAAUGCGCAGAUAUCAGGAGGAACACCGAGUGCGAAGGCAGCUCGCUGGGACGUUACUGACGCUGAGACGCGAAAGCGUGGGGAGCAAACAGG
rnacentral:rRNA from 1 species